GCCGGAAGGAACUUGCUCCGGAUGUUAGCGGCGGACGGGUGAGUAACACGUGGGUAACCUGCCUGUAAGACUGGGAUAACUCCGGGAAACCGGAGCUAAUACCGGAUAGUUCCUUGAACCGCAUGGUUCAAGGAUGAAAGACGGUUUCGGCUGUCACUUACAGAUGGACCCGCGGCGCAUUAGCUAGUUGGUGGGGUAAUGGCUCACCAAGGCGACGAUGCGUAGCCGACCUGAGAGGGUGAUCGGCCACACUGGGACUGAGACACGGCCCAGACUCCUACGGGAGGCAGCAGUAGGGAAUCUUCCGCAAUGGACGAAAGUCUGACGGAGCAACGCCGCGUGAGUGAUGAAGGUUUUCGGAUCGUAAAGCUCUGUUGUUAGGGAAGAACAAGUGCGAGAGUAACUGCUCGCACCUUGACGGUACCUAACCAGAAAGCCACGGCUAACUACGUGCCAGCAGCCGCGGUAAUACGUAGGUGGCAAGCGUUGUCCGGAAUUAUUGGGCGUAAAGGGCUCGCAGGCGGUUUCUUAAGUCUGAUGUGAAAGCCCCCGGCUCAACCGGGGAGGGUCAUUGGAAACUGGGAAACUUGAGUGCAGAAGAGGGAGAGUGGAAUUCCACGUGUAGCGGUGAAAUGCGUAGAGAUGUGGAGGAACACCAGUGGCGAAGGCGACUCUCUGGUCUGUAACUGACGCUGAGGAGCGAAAGCGUGGGGAGCGAACAGGAUUAGAUACCCUGGUAGUCCACGCCGUAAACGAUGAGUGCUAAGUGUUAGGGGGUUUCCGCCCCUUUAGUGCUGCAGCUAAACGCAUUAAGCACUCCCGCCUGGGGAAGUACGGUCGCAAGACUGAAACUCUAANGGAAUUUGACGGGGGCCCGCACANGCCGGUGGGAGCAUGUGGUUUAAUUCGAAGCAACGCGAAGAACCUUACCAGGUCUUGACAUCCUCUGACAACCCUAGAGAUAGGGCUUUCCCUUCGGGGACAGAGUGACAGGUGGUGCAUGGUUGUCGUCAGCUCGUGUCGUGAGAUGUUGGGUUAAGUCCCGCAACGAGCGCAACCCUUGAUCUUAGUUGCCAGCAUUUAGUUGGGCACUCUAAGGUGACUGCCGGUGACAAACCGGAGGAAGGUGGGGAUGACGUCAAAUCAUCAUGCCCCUUAUGACCUGGGCUACACACGUGCUACAAUGGACAGAACAAAGGGCUGCGAGACCGCAAGGUUUAGCCAAUCCCAUAAAUCUGUUCUCAGUUCGGAUCGCAGUCUGCAACUCGACUGCGUGAAGCCUGGAAUCGCUAGUAAUCGCGGAUCAAGGAUGUCCGCGUGGGCUCG
rnacentral:rRNA from 1 species